GCCCUACGGGAGGCAGCAGUGGGGAAUCUUGCGCAAUGGGCGAAAGCCUGACGCAGCCAUGCCGCGUGAAUGAUGAAGGUCUUAGGAUUGUAAAAUUCUUUCACCGGGGACGAUAAUGACGGUACCCGGAGAAGAAGCUCCGGCUAACUUCGUGCCAGCAGCCGCGGUAAUACGAAGGGGGCUAGCGUUGCUCGGAAUUACUGGGCGUAAAGGGCGCGUAGGCGGACAGCUUAGUCAGAGGUGAAAGCCCAGGGCUCAACCUUGGAAUUGCCUUUGAUACUGGCUGUCUUGAGUUUGGGAGAGGUGAGUGGAACUCCGAGUGUAGAGGUGAAAUUCGUAGAUAUUCGGAAGAACACCAGUGGCGAAGGCGACUCACUGGCCCAAUACUGACGCUGAGGCGCGAAAGCGUGGGGAGCAAACAGGAUUAGAUACCCCGGUAGUC
rnacentral:rRNA from 1 species